GACGAACGCUGGCGGCGUGCUUAACACAUACAAGUCGAACGGAAAGGCCCUGCUUUUGUGGGGUGCUCGAGUGGCGAACGGGUGAGUAACACGUGAGUAACCUGCCCUUGACUUUGGGAUAACUUCAGGAAACUGGGGCUAAUACCGGCUAGGAGCUCCUGCUGCAUGGUGGGGGUUGGAAAGUUUCGGCGGUUGGGGAUGGACUCGCGGCUUAUCAGCUUGUUGGUGGGGUAGUGGCUUACCAAGGCUUUGACGGGUAGCCGGCCUGAGAGGGUGACCGGCCACAUUGGGACUGAGAUACGGCCCAGACGCCUACGGGAGGCAGCCGUGGGGACUCUUGCACACUGGGCGGAAGCCUGAUGCAGCAACGCCGCGUGCGGGAUGACGGCCUUCGGGUUGUAAACCGCUUUCGCCUGUGACGAAGCGUGAGUGACGGUAAUGGGUAAAGAAGCACCGGCUAACUACGUG
rnacentral:rRNA from 1 species